rnacentral:lncRNA from 1 species
GCUGGGAGAUGCAGUUCUGUGUACUUUUCUACGUCGGCGAGGCUGUCCUUUCUACCUCCGCGGGGCUGGCGAUUAAUCUCUUCCUCUCCUGCUCUGUUUUUUCACAUUCGCCCGGGACCCUCAGAUCUUUCGGCCUCCCUGUGAACAAACCACGCAUGUCACCUUCUGCUGGAUUCUGGUGUUUUCUACUUUCUACAGGUUCCGCAUUUUGUGUGCUCCCGUGCUUCCAGGCCACCCACCUGGAGUCAUCAAGGACCCAGUGCCUGCAGUCAACCCGACUUCCCAGCAUGCCCUGUUCCUAUGCCUUGGGCCUGGCCCCACGUCAGCUUUCACCUGGAAUUCUGCAAAGCCUCCUUGAGGUCUCCGAGCCUCAAUGCUCGACCUCUGCAGUCUCUUCUUUGCUGCAUCGAACGAGCAGAAUUGUAAACCUCAGUUCCGUGUCACUCCUCCCCUGCCUGAGACCCUUCGUGGUUCCCCAGGGUCCUCAGGACAAAGCCCAAGCCCCUUGGCCUGGCGAUCAGUGCCCUGUGCUCACCUCUCCAGCUCCAGCUCAGAUAGCUCUGCCCGCACAAGCUGGCUUUGCACCAGAGGGCCACCUUCCUCCCCUUCAGCCUCCUCCUCCCGAGGAGCCCUUGGGAUGCCACCUCCCAGGAGGCUCUUCCCCCCGCCCCCGUCUCUACACCUGUCAUGAGCAGUUAUUGCCAUAGUUCUGCCUGACUAUGUCACGGUUGCAUCUUCUCUCUUCUCCGACCCCCAGCACAGUGCUUCUCGAGGGAGGUGCUUCCUCAAUAUUGUCGUCUCAUUUUAUGUUUGGAAAAUGAAAAAAAAAAGAAUGUUUUUUUCCUUUGUCAGAAAUUUAAGAAAUAUAGGAAAGCAAAAAAAAAAAAAAAAAGGAAUAAUGUGUUUUCACUAACCUGACCUAGUCCCCGUGAUCAUUUUUGCUUGUUUCUACUUCUUUCUUUUUUUUCUUUUUUGGCUGUAGCCAGGGCAUGCAGAGGUCCCCAGGCCAAGGACCAAACCUACACCACAGCAGUGACAAGAUCAGAUCCUCGAUCCACUGCCCCACCAAGGAACUCCUAUUUCCACUGCUUUCUAGGUCAUUUAAAAACAUUUCACAGGGGAGUUCCCAUCGUGAUUCAGUGGUUAACGAAUCCGACUAGGAACCACAGGUCACGGGUUCGAUCCCUGCCCUUGCUCAGUGGGUUAAGGAUCCGGCAUUGCCGUAAGCUGUGGUGUAGGUCACAGACGCAGCUCCGAUCCCGAGUUGCUGCGGCUCUGCUGUAGGCCAGCGGCUAUGGCUCCGAUUAGACCCCUAGCCUGGGAACCUCCAUAUGCCUUGGGUGUGGCCCUAGAAAAAGACAAAAAAAAAAAAAAAUUAGACCUUAACAGAAAAACUAAAGUCUCUCUACCCCAGAGCCAAGUGGUGUCAAAUCAAUUAUCUUCCAAUCUUGUAAACACCUUUAUUUGUGCAUCGACUUAACCUGCAGAAAAAGGAGUGUGUGGUACUUUUUAUUUGUCGUAACAGUGUUUUGCUAUAAUAUGGUUUUUCACUCCACACUGUUUUUUGAGAUUAGUCCAUGUUACAUACAAAUUUUGAAGCAUAAUCUCCAGGCGACACCCGAGCUUCAAGGUGAAGGACCUGGAUUCAAAAUCCUGCUUAGUGCUUACUCCCUGUGUGAUUUUAUGUCCUGAGCCUCAGUUUUCUCU